rnacentral:miRNA from 1 species
UGGGAGGGAGAGAGAGAGACCUGGCGAGCUUCGACCUCCAGCUUCUUCGUCUUCUAUAUCCAUCCAUCCAUCGCCCGUCUCUCUUCCCUGGCCGUCACUGCA